rnacentral:miRNA from 1 species
UCCACUAGUCUGCUAGUCUGGACUGAUAUGGUUAGCUUUUUUUUUUUUUUUGAGAUGGAGUCUGGCUCUGUUGCCCAGGCUGGAGUACAGUGGC